UAUUCCUUCUCUCUCAGAUUACAGUUGGAGUUCUUGGCAUCUACUCAGUAAUAUUUUAUUUUUCUGAUAGUCACUGGAAAGCAUUUAAUCUCUAAAGACCUGAUUAUAAAGCACUUGAAUUUUGCUAACUGCUUGUCUGUCAUCUCAAAAUGCAUUGCAGAGAUACUGUCAGAUUUUGGAUUUAAAGAUUUCCUAGAUGACAUUGGAUGCAAAUUGAUAAUGUGCAUUUACCAAAUAAUAAGGGCAAUGUCCCUGUAUGCCAUGUGCCUUACAAGCAAUCACAAUCAGCCCCAGCAACUCCAGGUAGAUAAUGCUUAAGCACAGAGCCACCAAGUACAUCCUGCUUAGUCAGAUGGCUUGUGUACCUGCUUCUAAACAUACUCCAGCAAGACUGUUAGGAUCCAGUUACAACAAAAAUAAAACUAACAUGAUGAGUUUUGAGUACUGUUCAUGGUUUACUUCCAGAAAUGUGGCAACCGCACUGUAUAUGUUUCCACUCAGCUUCUCUGGUGGCUUGUCUCUGGGUCUCAUGGCCUGCUCAAGUAUCUCCAUGGUGAGUGCCCUCUACAGACACAAGGGAAAAGUCAAGCAUAUCCAUGGUGAUGCCCUUUCUAAAAGUACUCACCUGAAGACACAGACACCCAAACUAUCCUCAUCCUGGUGUGCACAUUUUUCAUCUCUUACUCAAUCUCUUCUAUACAUGACAUCUUUAGAAGGUACUCCAAAGACUCAGUGCUAUGGAAGGUAUGUGUAUUCAUAUUUUUAGAAAUAUGCUUUGCAAUAUAUUUCCCCUUCAUUCUCACCAGCAAUUUCCAAUCUUGUUGUAGUCUGUUUUUAUCCUUCUGUGAUAAG
rnacentral:lncRNA from 1 species